CCUACGGGAGGCAGCAGUGGGGAAUCUUGCGCAAUGCGCGAAAGCGUGACGCAGCAACGCCGCGUGGGGGAAGAAGGCCUUCGGGUUGUAAACCCCUUUCAGGAGGGGACGAAGGUUCGCCGGUGAAUAGCCGUGCGGAUUGACGGUACCUCCAGAAGAAGCUCCGGCUAACUACGUGCCAGCAGCCGCGGUAAU
rnacentral:rRNA from 1 species